UAGGGAAUCUUCCGCAAUGGGCGAAAGCCUGACGGAGCAACGCCGCGUGAGUGAUGAAGGUCUUCGGAUCGUAAAACUCUGUUAUUAGGGAAUAACAAAUGUGUAAGUAACUAUGCACGUCUUGACGGUACCUAAUCAGAAAGCCACGGCUAACUACGUGCCAGCAGCCGCGGUAAUACGUAGGUGGCAAGCGUUAUCCGGAAUUAUUUGGCGUAAAGCGCGCGUAGGCGGUUUUUUAAGUCUGAUGUGAAAGCCCACGGCUCAACCCUGGAGCGUCAUUGGAAACUGGCACACUUGUGUGCAGAAUAGGAAAGUGGCAUUCCAUGUGUAGCGGUGACAUGCGCAGAGAUAUGGAGGCACCCCAGUGGCGACGGCGACUUUCUGGUCUGUAACUGACGCUGAUGUGCGAAAGCGUGGGGAUCAAACAGG
rnacentral:rRNA from 1 species